UAACCUGUCCCGUGUGCGAUUUCUAUUUGUAGUUUCUUUGGAAAGUACGAACUCCCAAGUUUUAAAGUUCCGACCAUUAGUAGGCUUGAAGUUUUAGUCGUUCAUACAAUAGGAAAAAAGGAGAGAGAAAAAUGUGACACUGAAUCUAUAAAAAUUUUGAUGAAAGAUGCAAAAUUACGUGGUUUGAAGGUUGUGUGCUAUGACGACCCUGAUGAUGUCCGACACAUUCUGUGCACUGAUCAUCCAAAUGCGGAACAAUGCAGGUUUAAAGGUCUACUUGGUGACGGACAAGAUUAUAGGUAACCAAUUCAUGUCUUUCCUUUGUUCUUAAGCUGCUGGCCUCUCACCGCUGUGGUUCGGGUCGAUUCUCAGGAAAAUCCUCCUUUGCACGGACCAUAUGUGAGUUUGAGUUUGUUACAAUGAAUGAGUU